UUUAGUUUAUUUGUUUUACUUUCAACUUUACCAAACCCAAAUCCCCCUUUUACUUUCUUGUUUUAAAAGUCUUUGGUUUACAUUUUUAACUUUGUUUCUUUUUGUUUUUGAGUCAGUUUAGAGGUUUUAGGAAGCCCUCCUAAUCCCUGGUUUAGAACGAUACCCUACUUACAUCUAUACUACAAUUGUCAAAAAGAGGUUUUAAUUUGUGUGCUUAUAAUAUUUCGCAUCAAAUUUUGGCGCCGUUGCCGGGGAUUAGCAACUUUGCUAAAUCCCCAUUGUUUCUUUUUAUUUCUUUUUUGUGUGUUUUAAUUUUAGUUUUAAUUUUAUUUGAUUUUGUUUAUUUCAGGUACUAGUUUAUGACUCGU
rnacentral:lncRNA from 1 species